rnacentral:rRNA from 1 species
CCGCGGUAAUACGGAGGAUCCAAGCGUUAUCCGGAAUCAUUGGGUUUAAAGGGUCCGUAGGCGGCGCGUUAAGUCGGGUGUGAAAGCCCGGGGCUCAACCCCGGAACUGCAUUCGAUACUGGCGCGCUUGAGUACGGGAGAGGGGAGCGGAAUUCCUGGUGUAGAGGUGAAAUUCGUAGAUAUCAGGAGGAACAUCAGUGGCGAAAGCGGCUCCCUGGUCCGAUACUGACGCUCAUGUACGAAAGCGUGGGGAGCAAACAGG